rnacentral:rRNA from 1 species
UAACCUGCGGAGGGAUCAUUACUGAGUACUACACUCUCUACCCUUUGUGAACUAUUAUACCUGUUGCUUCGGCGGCGCCCGCGAGGGCGCCCGCCGGUCUCAUCAGAAUCUCUGUUUUCGAACCCGACGAUACUUCUGAGUGUUCUUAGCGAACUGUCAAAACUUUUAACAACGGAUCUCUUGGCUCCAGCAUCGAUGAAGAACGCAGCGAAACGCGAUAUGUAAUGUGAAUUGCAGAAUUCAGUGAAUCAUCGAAUCUUUGAACGCACAUGGCGCCUUCCAGUAUCCUGGGAGGCAUGCCUGUCCGAGCGUCGUUUCAACCCUCGAGCCCCCCGUGGCCCGGCGUUGGGGAUCUGCCACGGCAGGCCCCUAAAACCAGUGGCGGACCCGCUGGGCCCUCUCCUUUGCGCAGUAGCAUCAGCCUCGCAUCGGGAGCCCUCGGCGUCCUGCCUCUAAACCCCCCACAAGCCCGCUCCGGCGGCACCAAGGUUGACCUCGGAUCAGGUAGGAAUACCCGCUGAACUUAAGCAUAUCAAUAAGGCG